rnacentral:rRNA from 1 species
GAUGAACGCUGACAGAAUGCUUAACACAUGCAAGUCCACUUGAACUUCGGUUUGGGUGGCGGACGGGUGAGUAACGCGUAAAGAACUUGCCUCACAGCUAGGGACAACAUUUGGAAACGAAUGCUAAUACCUGAUAUUAUGAUUUUAGGGCAUCCUAGAAUUAUGAAAGCUAUAUGCGCUGUGAGAGAGCUUUGCGUCCCAUUAGCUAGUUGGAGAGGUAACGGCUCACCAAGGCGAUGAUGGGUAGCCGGCCUGAGAGGGUGAACGGCCACAAGGGGACGGAGACACGGCCCUUACUCCUACGGGAGGCAGCAGUGGGGAAUAUUGGACAAUGGACCAAGAGUCUGAUCCAGCAAUUCUGUGUGCACGAUGAAGUUUUUCGGAAUGUAAAGUGCUUUCAGUUGGGAAGAAAAAAAUGACGGUACCAACAGAAGAAGUGACGGCUAAAUACGUG